rnacentral:lncRNA from 1 species
CCUCCUUGCCUGCUCUCUUGCAUCUCUCACAAGCGUCCUAUCCUAAUAAAUCUAUUUCUUGCCUUUCACUUUGUCUCUUGCUGAAUUCCUUCUGCUCAGAGGCGUGAAGAACCUGAACCUCAGUAAGUCCAGACACGGGGUAAAUUAUUCUAAUUUAAAACUGUGGUGAGCAGUGGUAGCUUUCAAUGUUGAAAAGCCAAGGCUGGGGUUUAAAGAAGUUGGAACUGGUAGAGCCCCUAGCCUGGGAACUUCCAUAUGCUGUGGGUGUGGUCCUAAAAAUAUAACUAACUAACUAACUAAUACAUAAAUAAAAUUAAAACAUAAUAAUCUCUCCAAAUUCAACAAAUGUCUCUUCUCUGUGGGACUUUUCCUUUCUGAAAAGCUUUCUAUCUAAACCUCAUCCUAAUAAUUGCCCGGAUCUGUUCUUAAAAAAAAUCAAAUCAUCCUCCAGAUUAUUGCACCCCUUACCUCAAAACAUCUGUGCUAUGUGUCUGGAUACCAAAGGGCCCACUCUUUCGAGAAGGCGUAGUGAAAAGGACAUAGGCCCUAGACUCUGAGCCUCUGGAUUUGAGUUUCUGUUUAUUUGGUAAAUGACUUCACUUCUUACGCCUCCCUUUUCACAUCUGAAGGCCCGCCCAAUCCACUUUUUUCGGUUUUUUGUUUCUUUUUUUGGUGGGAAUAAUGAAAGGUAUUAAAACACUUCAUAAAUCUCUAUACAAAUCUGUUUUUCCUUCUUCUUCUAAUAAGUCACUUGAUAAUUAAAUAUGCCCUAAAAUAUGACUGGAUGGCUAUGUUUUAUUCCAUCCACAAUCUUCUACAGACUUCAGAGCUUGGCCAAGUUAUUUUUAACAAAAAAACAACAAAAGCUGCUGUUUACUAAGUGCCUGCUGUGGCUAGGUGAUUUACAUAGCAUUAAUUAAAUGUGAAUAAUUAUUUUCUAUUUUAUAGAUUUGGAAAAUGAGACUCAUAGUUCAUAUGACUGCAGUUCAGAUCUAGAUCUGAGUAGAAACAACAACAUCUUAAAUCUCCAUCCAAAAUAAAAUCUCACUGUUUUAUAAGGAACUCAUUGAUUUGUGGAAGAAUUUUAGACGUUUUAACAGCCUUGUGGGGAAAAUAGUGAAAGACAUGUAGUCUUGUGGACAGGCUUCCAAAAUGUUUUUAACUUUAGAAUCGUAUUUUAAAAACUGUGCAUAUGAACAAAAUUUGCAUAUAAUUUCAUGGGUUUUAUGAACUGCCUUAAGCCAAUUCAUGGAUCUCUAGCUUAAUAACCCCUGCAUUAAGGUUCUAUGAAUCCCAUGACAUAAAAUUCUUUUAGAGUGCACAGCUAGCUUGGGGCUCCCAGGUCAGAAAGAAGGCAGCUCAAUGUGGCUCAUGUACAGCUAAUCAGGGUUUUUCAUCAGUGGUACUGUUGACAUUAGGGGGCUGUAUGUUUCUUUGUUGUUGAGUAUAAUUUUUGCAUUAUAGGUUAGCAGUACCCAUGUCCCCUCCACCCACCAGAUGCCAGUAAGUACUGACCAUCUCUUAUGAAACUGCAAAUGUCUCCAAGUUUCUUAGUAUCUCCUGGGGGGAAAAUUUUCCCCAAUUGCAAACCACUGAACUAAGCUCAUCAAGUAUCAAGGCAGUGUGAUGAAACAAGACUCUCCCACCACGGAUGUUUGGAGUUUCUGGAUUUAUGAAUGUUUGUGUUUACAGAGCCUUUAAAGCUUGACUUGUCAGAGGUGUUAGUCCUUGAUAGCUGCCAAGCUGCUACUUAGUUUUAUUUUUCUCUCCAGUGGCAGACAAGGUAAGGAUGAGUGAAGAGUUGGGUGCAACUGUACUAAUGAGUACUUCCAGCUCACAUUUUGCCAUACUAGAAGUCCAUCCUAGUUAAUACGCUCCUUUUCUGAAUGGUCACCCCCUCCUUAAGAAAUGAGUAAACCAUAUUGCACCUAAUUGUGAUUUUCCUAACUAAGCCUUGAAUGGUCACCCCCUCCUUAAGAAACGAGUAAACCAUAUUGCACCUAAUUGUGAUUUUCCUAACUAAGCCUUGAAAAAAAAUUGUCAUUGAAGGCAUGAGUUUGGAUUCAAGUCAUGAAGAUAAAAGGUAGAUGUGUUGUAUUCUGGAACCUAAGGUCUUUGGGUGUCUGAUGGGAUGGGAUCUGGAAGGCCCCUGAGGUGAACAUCGCUUAUUUUGUAGUUGUCUGUAAUAUCCUGCCUGAAGGAAAGACUGAUAGGAAGAGAUUUUUUUUUUCUGAUUUUUCUGAUUACUAAUGAAGUUGAGCAUUUUUUCACACAUGUAUUUAUCACUUGAGAUCCCUUUUCUGUGAAAAUACUGCCCAUAGUUUUAGCCACUUUUAGUUUCAUUUUAUUUUCGUAUUAAUUUUAGGCAUCUAAAUAUUUUGGAUUAUAAUGCUUUGGCUUCCAUUUUAUAAAUAUCUUACCCAGUGUGUGACUUGGCUUCAGUGUUAAGUAGUGGCCAUGGCUUCUUCUUUUAACACUGCAUCUUACCCUUUUGGGAAGAGCAACACUUUUGUUCAAAUUCAACCUGCCUAAUCUUUUUCUCUUGAUCUUUAACAGUUUUAGAACACUGAGUAGUGUAUUUCUUUUGGGGGGGCUUUCUUUACCUUCACUGGUACUCAGCUAUACUCUAUAGUAAGCUUAGAACAAUUUCAUUCUGUCAAGGUGUUGAAAAUUUGUACUGGAAAUAUAUGCAUUUCAGGAAAAGCAAAAUGGGGGGCUAGAGUCGCUGGGUUACAGAGCCAGAUGGUGUCAACUGGACAAAUAAUUUUUAGAGGCAAAAUCAGAUAUAUGAGAUGGAAAUUUGUCUCUUGUUGAAUGAGAUAUACAAUAGUUAAGUCAUUAGUUUCUGGUUCUAUAACACCUUCAUUUUUUAUUAAUUAAAUUUAUUUUCUACUAGAGUAUAGUUGAUUUACAGUGUUGAGUCCAUUUCCGCUCUACAGCAUAGUGACCCAGUCAUACAUAUAUAUACGUUCUUUUUCUCAUAUCAUCUUCCAUAUGGUCUACCCCAAGAGACUGGAUAUAGUUCCCUGUGCUAUGCAGUAGAGUGUUUAACUCCUUUCAGAGACCAAGUCAGGUGGAUUUAUCUCCCUCAAGUCUGGGUUUAUCUACCCCACAGUGCUGGAAUUCUAAUAAUUCAAAAUUGAUUAGAGUUAGUAAACAAAAUCCCUAGGUAACCAGUCUUUGUGGCCUUUGCUUUUUUUUACUUCUAAGUGCCAAGUCUGAGGAAAAGAGUCUGUUUAAAUUAAUUUACACCUUAGGGACAGGAGCUUUAUUUGGGGCUUGGAGAAUUCCACUUAAAUAGAAUUCCACUGAAAUGUGUGAGUGGUUUUUGGUAAGGGAAGAAGAAGCAACACUACAUAACCUGACAGAAAAUUUGAGCUAUAGCUACUGUUUAUUGAAGGAGUAAAUUUGAAAAACUGUCUGUUCUGACCAACGUUUACUGUUUUCCUUCAGAUUAGACUAGAAAUAUUGACUGGUAAAAUAAAAGUGAUUAUAGUUAUUUACAUGGCUAUUCAACAUUUUUCUAAUAACCAUGCAGUAGAAAAAUGAUUUUCAGAUAUUGUUAAACAUGUAUCAAAUUAUCUUGUCUGUUUCAUUUGGUUAUGAUAUUAAUGUGGUAAAUAUAUAUAUAUAUAUAUAUGGUGUGUGUGUGUGUGUGUGUGUGUAUAUAUAUAUAUGGUAUAUAUAUAUAUGUGAUUUAUAUCUAUAUAUUUAUUUAUAUCUACGUAUAUGUGUAUAUUAGAUUUGGGGAGAAAAAUGUUAAGCUGUAAGAUCAGAAGGAACUGUGUUGCAAACCAGCCUCUAACAAUUUCCAGCUUUGUAACUAGGGGCAGCUUAUUCUUUUGAGAGUCAAUUCCUUGGUGUUUAAAAUGGGUCUAACUUCCGGUGGUACUGAGAUGCUCAGGAGAGAUUUGUGUAUAAAGUCUGACAUCAAAUAGAUGCUCAAAAAGGUAAUUAUAAUUUAUUUAUUAUUGGUUUCCUUAUUUUUAAUAAAAAAUGUUAAAGAUUUUUCAUUUGUUAAAUAAAGCUGUAACCAUCUAAUUCUUGUGCCCCGAUUAUGAGAAUGAGGCAAUCUUCAGGUGAACUUGUAGACCCUUUUAAAGCUAGGAUAGGAUUAUAGCUCUUUAAAAUGUAAAGUAACAUUUUUUUCUUUUACUAAUCUCUGUGGGAAACAUUACUGAGAAUGUGUACUGAGGAAAAAGAAAGAAUUUUUUAAUAGAUCCUUUAAGGUUUACAGAAAUGACUGAUGAUUGUUUAAUUGCCACAUCUUAGAGAAUUACCUAGAAUAUAAUGCAAUCAAUCAUUUAACCAACAUUUAUUGAAAUACCAUGGAAAAAGCAUGCACUUUGGAAUCAAGAAUGGGUUUGAAUCCUGGCUCUGUUACUUUCUGUUUGUUCAAAUAUGAACAUUUUAGUUUACUCUUUGAGUCACAUUUUCCUUGUCCAUGACAUGGAACUUACAACUUACAUACUUGUAAGUCUAAUGCAUACAAGUAAAUUGGGAAUUUUUGAAAUAAUGCAUGUGGAAGUCAUAGUAUAAAACUUGAAAAAAAGUGGUUUCUUGCUAUAUGGUAGAUGUCAUAAGAAAAAUAAUGAUAGGGAGUACCCUUGUGGUCUAGCGGUUAGGAUUUGGCACUUUCACUGCUGCAGCUCAAGUUCAGUCCCUAGUCUGGGAAAAGAGAUCCCUCAUCAAGCCACUGC